rnacentral:rRNA from 1 species
AUUGAACGCUGGCGGCAUGCCUUACACAUGCAAGUCGAACGGUAACAGGUCUUCGGAUGCUGACGAGUGGCGAACGGGUGAGUAAUACAUCGGAACGUGCCUAGUAGUGGGGGAUAACUACUCGAAAGGGUGGCUAAUACCGCAUGAGAUCUACGGAUGAAAGCAGGGGAUCGCAAGACCUUGCGCUACUAGAGCGGCCGAUGGCAGAUUAGGUAGUUGGUGGGAUAAAAGCUUACCAAGCCGACGAUCUAUAGCUGGUCUGAGAGGACGAUCAGCCACACUGGGACUGAGACACGGCCCAGACUCCUACGGGAGGCAGCAGUGGGGAAUUUUGGACAAUGGGCGAAAGCCUGAUCCAGCGAUGCCGCGUGCAGGAUGAAGGCCUUCGGGUUGUAAACUGCUUUUGUACGGAACGAAAAGCCCUGGGUUAAUACCCUGGGGUCAUGACGGUACCGUAAGAAUAAGCACCGGCUAACUACGUGCCAGCCGCCGCUGUAA